UUGUCAUGAAACAUAUAAAAACAACUCCUGAAACGGCUCCGUUAUUCAGACGCAUAUUGUGGUGGAAUAAACAUGUUCAAGAAACUUCUGCUUUUUUGUGUGGUGAUGAUGCUGAUCGGCAGUAGCCUACAGCAGGGCGGAGGCGGCGGCGGCGGGGCUGGUGGUGGUGGGGAAGCUGGAGGUUACUUCCAAGCCGGUUUUAGCAUAGGGGGCGGCGCGAACAUGGGUGGGGGCGCCGGCGCCAACGGCGGCGGGGGCGGCAACGGAGGUGGCGGCGGCGAUUGGUCAUCGGCAACGCGAAAGAAGAAAAAGACUAAGAAGUGUUAAUGACUUCUUUGUUUAGGCUUCAAGUCAUAAAUUGGUAACUAACUAUGCUGUAUCUACUAACUUUGUGUUUCAGUAGGUAAUCAAUAUUAUAACUUCCAGGCCGUAAAUGAAGACGGACAAUCAGCAUACGCUUACUCAUACUCCAACCCCAACAACCAGAUGACAUCCAGUUACUCCAAGUAUGUUCCGGACUCCAUGAACAACGGUCAAGAUUAUAAAAAGUAUUAUCAAAAUUAAUUCAUUCUGUUAUUGGUGCUUAAUUGGUUGAUUAUGUCAUAUUAAAUUUUGAUUCACCAGCA